rnacentral:pre_miRNA from 1 species
GAUUUCAUCUGAAAAAGUCAUCAACAACAAAGUUGUAUAACUCAUCAAGAUCUAUAACUUUUAUUUUGGUCAUUUCUUCAUCCGACAAAGUGACAGUAACAUUGUUAACAAAAUUUACAUAUGUCUCAUUUGGUUUUACAAACUAUAAGAGAGAUAUAUAAAUUUUGUGAACAAUAUUACUAUAAUUUUGUUGGAUGAAGAAAUGUCCAAAAUAAAAGUUCUAUGUCUUGAUGAGUUCUACAACUAUAACUUUUAUGUUCAUGACUUUUUCAGCUGAAAUU